rnacentral:tRNA from 1 species
GGUUGUGGCUGUGUGGUAGAGCACUUGCCUACCAUGUAUGAGACACUGGGUUCAAACCUCAGCACCA